AAGCGCUUGCAGCCAGACUUGCCUGUAGUUGCUCACCCGGGCUCUCGCCCGGUGCACUCUUCUGCGGGCAGGCCAGCAUCAGUUUGGGCGGCCGGAUAAAGGUCCCGGGAACGUAGCUCUCUUCGGGGAGUGUUAUAGCCCGGGGCGCCAUGCGGCCAGCCCGGACUGAGGUCCGCGCAUCUGCUAGGAUGCUGGCGUAAUGGCUGUAAGCGG
rnacentral:rRNA from 1 species